rnacentral:rRNA from 1 species
CGAACGGGUGAGUAACGCGUGGAUUAUCUGCCCUGAGGUGGGGGAUAACCCGGGGAAACUCGGGCUAAUACCGCAUAUGACCGCGAGGUCAAAGGGGGGUCGCAAGAUCUCUCGCCAUAGGAGGAGUCCGCGUCCGAUUAGCUAGUUGGUAGGGUAAUGGCCUACCAAGGCGACGAUCGGUAGCUGGUCUGAGAGGAUGAUCAGCCACACUGGGACUGAGACACGGCCCAG